UACGAAGGGGGCUAGCGUUGUUCGGAAUUACUGGGCGUAAAGCGCACGUAGGCGGAAUGUUAAGUCAGGGGUGAAAUCCCGGGGCUCAACCCCGGAACUGCCUUUGAUACUGGCAUUCUCGAGUCCGGAAGAGGUGAGUGGAAUUCCGAGUGUAGAGGUGAAAUUCGUAGAUAUUCGGAGGAACACCAGUGGCGAAGGCAGCUCUCUGGGACGGUACUGACGCUGAGACACGAAAGCGUGGGGAGCGAACAGG
rnacentral:rRNA from 1 species